rnacentral:rRNA from 1 species
AUUGAACGCUGGCGGCAGGCUUAACACAUGCAAGUCGAGCGGGGGAAGGUAGCUUGCUACCGGACCUAGCGGCGGACGGGUGAGUAAUGCUUAGGAAUCUGCCUAUUAGUGGGGGACAACAUCUCGAGAGGGAUGCUAAUACCGCAUACGUCCUACGGGAGAAAGCAGGGGAUCUUCGGACCUUGCGCUAAUAGAUGAGCCUAAGUCGGAUUAGCUAGUCGGUGGGGUAAAGGCCUACCAAGGCGACGAUCUGUAGCGGGUCUGAGAGGAUGAUCCGCCACACUGGGACUGAGACACGGCCCAGACUCCUACGGGAGGCAGCAGUGGGGAAUAUUGGACAAUGGGCGGAAGCCUGAUCCAGCCAUGCCGCGUGUGAAGAAGGCCUUUUGGUUGUAAAGCACUUUAAGCGAGGAGGAGGCUACUUAGAUUAAUACUCUGGGAUAGUGGACGUUACUCGCAGAAUAAGCACCGGCUAACUCUGUGCCAGCCGCCGCCGUAA